ACCUAGUUGACGAGUCCCAAACAGGACGAAAUGCGCAUCGUCAUCAGCUAAAU
rnacentral:hammerhead_ribozyme from 1 species